rnacentral:lncRNA from 1 species
GUAAAUCGAAGCCCACCUUUAUUGUAAUGGAAAAGACUGGAACUAAGGGAGAAGGUUUAUAUUUGGUAUUUUACAAUCCUAACUCUCUAAGAUUCAUAAGAUAGCUAUUUUAUUAUUAUAAUUUUUUAUUGCUCAUGUGUCUUGUUAAGAAACAUUCAAAUUUGUAAGUAUGUGAUUAACACACCUUAAUUUUAACAGUCAAUGAGUCAAACAGUCAAAGGAGGACAGGAGGGGAGCCAGCUGGUAGGAGGGAGCAGCAACCGUGUGUGGACCAAGCGCCAUUUUUGUUUUAUAGACGUGUCUUGAAGGGAUGGUCCCAGAAUAUACAAAAUAUACAAUCUGUCC